GACGAACGCUGGCGGCGUGCUUAACACAUGCAAGUCGAACGGAAAGGCCCCUUUGGGGGUACUCGAGUGGCGAACGGGUGAGUAACACGUGAGUAACCUGCCCUUGACUUCGGGAUAACUUCAGGAAACUGGGGCUAAUACCGGAUAGGAAUCCUUGCUGCAUGGUGGGGGUUGGAAAGCUUCGGCGGUUUUGGAUGGACUCGCGGCUUAUCAGCUUGUUGGUGGGGUAGUGGCUUACCAAGGCUUUGACGGGUAGCCGGCCUGAGAGGGCGACCGGCCACAUUGGGACUGAGAUACGGCCCAGACUCCUACGGGAGGCAGCAGUGGCGAAUAUUGCACAAUGGGCGGAAGCCUGAUGCAGCAACGCCGCGUGCGGGAUGACGGCCUUCGGGUUGUAAACCGCUUUCAGCAGGGGCGAAGCUUGUGGUGACGGUACCUGCAGAAGAAGCACCGGCUAACUACGUG
rnacentral:rRNA from 1 species